GGACAAAGGCGCCGGCGAGGCCGUUUGGCGUAGCCGCCAUUUUGUGCGCAGGGCUCUGAGCCUGAAGAGAAAAGAGCAGAGCGGCGCCAUGUCUCGGGAUCGGUUCCGUAGCCGAGGCGGUGGCGGUUUCCACCGGCGCGGAGGCGGUGGCGGAGGCCGGGGAGGCCCCAACCAUGAUUUCCGGUCUCCACCGCCCGGCAUGGGUCUUGGCCAGAACCGCGGCCCCUUGGGGGGCGGACCGCCUGGCGGGGGCCCUAAGCCCGAACCCCCGAAGCCGCCCGUCUCGACGGCCACGCCGCCGGCCUCGUCCACUUCCGCCACUGCCACUACCUCGGGACCCUCCGGCAGCCAGGCCGGCUCCGGGCCCCCCGCGGGGCCUACACCGGCCGCGGGACAGCAACAGCCGCAGGCCCAGGCGGCCGCCGCUGCCGCUCCCCCUUCCACCCCGUCCGUCCCUGGGGGACAGGCGCAGCCGAAGCCGAGCCCCACCCCUGCCAUCGGCCCCAAAAAAGGUCAGGGCCAGUCUCCGGGCGGGGGUCCCAAGGGCCCAGGGGGCCCCCAGCAGGGCCUCGGCGGCCCGCACCCCAAGGGGGGGCAGGGACACCGCGGCGGCCCGGGCGGCGAGCAGCGCGGGCGCGGCCAGGGCCAACAGCACCAAGGGCAGGGCCUCAACUUGCAGCAGGGCUCGGCCGGAGGCAGCGGCGAGAAGGCCACGGACGAGGGUUUUAAAGCAAAUCUGUCUCUUCUGAGGCGACCUGGAGAGAAGACUUACACCCAACGUUGCCGUCUGUUUGUGGGGAACUUGCCUGCUGACAUUACCGAUGAAGAAUUCAAAAGAUUAUUUGCUAAAUAUGGGGAGCCUGGAGAGGUUUUUAUCAACAAGGGGAAGGGAUUUGGAUUCAUUAAAUUGGAAUCCAGAGCACUGGCUGAAAUUGCAAAGGCAGAACUUGAUGAUAUUCCUAUGAGAGGCCGACAGCUUCGAGUUCGUUUUGCCACACAUGCUGCCGCUCUGUCUGUGCGUAACCUUUCACCCUAUGUGUCCAAUGAGUUAUUGGAGGAAGCUUUUUCACAGUUUGGUCCAGUUGAAAGAGCUGUUGUGAUUGUAGAUGAUCGAGGCAGAUCAACAGGAAAAGGCAUUGUUGAAUUUGCAUCUAAGCCAGCUGCAAGGAAAGCAUUUGAACGGUGCACCGAAGGAGUAUUCUUGUUGACAACUACUCCUAGGCCAGUUAUUGUGGAACCACUUGAACAACUGGAUGAUGAAGAUGGUCUUCCAGAAAAGCUUGCUCAGAAGAAUCCAAUGUAUCAAAAGGAAAGAGAAACUCCACCCCGCUUUGCUCAGCAUGGCAGUUUUGAAUUUGAAUAUUCCCAGAGGUGGAAAUCCUUAGAUGAAAUGGAAAAACAGCAAAGAGAUCAGGUGGAGAAAAACAUGAAAGAUGCCAAAGACAAACUUGAAAGUGAAAUGGAAGAUGCCUAUCAUGAACAUCAGGCAAACCUCUUGCGUCAAGAUCUUAUGAGGCGUCAAGAAGAAUUGAGGCGUAUGGAGGAACUUCAUAAUCAAGAAAUGCAGAAACGCAAGGAAAUUCAGCUAAGGCAGGAGGAAGAACGUCGUAGACGAGAAGAAGAAAUGAUGAUUCGCCAGCGUGAGAUGGAAGAACAGAUGAGAAGACAAAGGGAAGAGAAUUACAGUAGAAUGGGUUACAUGGAUCCAAGAGAGAGAGACAUGAGAAUGAGUGGUGCCAGCACAAUGAACAUGGGAGAUCCUUAUGGUGCAGCAGCUCAGAAGUUCCCACCUAUGGGUGGUGGUGGUGGCGGUGGCGGCAUAGGUUAUGAAGCCAGUCCUGGUGUUGGCCAACCAGCCAUGAGUGGUUCUAUGAUGGGAAGUGACAUGCGUGCUGAACGCUUUGGGCAGGGAGGUGCGGGGCCUGUGGGUGGCCAGGGUCCUAGAGGAAUGGGGCCUGGAACACCAGCAGGAUAUGGUAGAGGGAGAGAAGAAUAUGAAGGCCCAAACAAAAAGCCCCGAUUUUAGAUGUGACCAGUAGUUUCAUUCCAGUUUGUUUUUGUCUGCCUUGUUUAGACACCAACUUUUAAAUUCUUGCAUUUUAGUAAGAAAGCUACAUUUUUAUGGAUGUUAGAAACUAGUGACCUAAUAUUUGUAAGUGGUCUGUUUGGACGAGUAAAAUUUAAUUAUGUAAUGCAGUGUUUCAAAACAAAUUUAGCUGUUUUUUUUGAUGUAUAACAUCCCUAACUUGAUGGCAGUGUACCAAUUUUUUUUACUGUGCUUCAAAUAAAUAGAAUACUAAAUGUAGUAACUAUUCUGAUCAUAAACUCGCCAUUCAUGGUUCUAAAGGAGGCUAAAUGCCAUACCUUUCAACAUAAAACAAAUGAGUCUUGGAUUUAGAGGUCUGAUUCAGACCAGGAUGCAGAAAAGUAGCUUAAGGGUGAGGCCUCCUCCCAUUAUGCCUCAAGCUUUACGUUUGGGUCAAAUAGUUGUAAACUGAUACUUGAUCUUCCAAUGGGUACAGAUUUUCAGAGCAUUCCUUAUACUGCAAUAAGGAAAUAAAUGGAAAUUUUGCAAGUGUUGUAAGAUGCAGUAAUGGAAACUAAACAGCAAAUGAUGCUGCUGUCAUGUAAUGAGUUUUAGAUUUUAACAAUGGAGGGUGGGAUGGUGGCAGAGACUUAUAUCUUUGGGCAUCCACUGCUUGAAAUCUUCUAAAGAAGUUGAAAAGGUCACUUUUUAAAAUAAAGCCACAGAAUGGCUUGGAUUAACUGACUUCUCAAUUAAAGGGCUGUAAACGUGACAAAUGUUUGUUUUAUACGUAAGCUGUCUACCUGAGAUGCAGGGUUGGCCUGGUUCAGUAUUUAAUACCUAACUGAAAUUGCUUGGCAAGAAGACCAGGGAGUAUUACUUGAGUAAAACAAGGAGAUUUUUAAUUUGUACUCUAACUUGCUUAUGUCCUUAUGCUAAUUGAGUGGACUAACUCUUACAGUUCAGAAAUCAACUAGGAUUAAUUUCAAGGGUCUGUAAAAACUGAAAUCUUCUUUCAUAGACCUUGUAGUACUUAAAUCCUAAAAUGCAUCAUGUUAAAUUCAGGUAAAUAAAUAGCCUCUUGCACUGUAGCAGGGUUCUCAGCUUUUUUUUGAGUCAUGUCCAGUCUUAGCAUUUCUUUUUACUUGGAGCUUCUGCUGUCCAUGUGCCAGGUCACAGUGCCACUUAAGUUUGGCUCAGCUCACCGCACCUCCUGGUUGAGAACCCCUGUUCUGAUAUUGUCAGAUAUCUUAAUGCUGACAUUUGGCAGGCAAGAGUAGGACUAAACCUGGAGUUCAAUAGCUAAUGCUAUAUAGUACAAAUAAAACUCCCUCUUAAGAUUCUGACAGAGGAAAUGGCUUCAUGAAUUUACAGUUUGCUGUCCACUUAAUUAAACCCCAUAAGAAUGCAAGGUAUUCUGGACUCUGAUAUUAAUGUAGUUACUUCAUUACUGUGAUUGUACCUGACAAGCUGGGAGCAUGGCUUCCCAGUGUAAAAUGCCUUGGUAUUAAGACAGGAUACAUCAACCUGCUUGUGCAAAGUUGGCAAACUUAUUUGGUUUGGUUGUAUUUUUACCUGACUCCCAAAAUGUUGAGCAAUCUGUGAAUAGUUUUAAUUGUUAGAAGGUCUUUCCACUGUUUGUGCUAAGCAUUGGCUAAUCCUAAAUUCUGUCUCUAUGGAUAAAAGUUUUAGUGUUUAGAUUUCAUUACCUAGGAAUACAAACAGUCUGUCUUCAGAAGUGAGCACUGUUUAAAUGCUGACUGUUAAACUUUAAAUGUAACACUGGCAAGCUGUGAAAUGUUGAUAACCAGGUGUGUGACUAAAUAUUAAGUGUCUAAAUAGAGACUCAGCCAGUUUGGCAAAUCUGUUCCUAUUUUCCCAGAACUUUUUAAGAGGGUAGAUGACACUUUACCUCUAUGAAUUGAAAUGUAGGAAACCUUGGAUCAGCAGUUCUUAAACUGGAGAUCAAGUGUCUGGGAUCUUUUGUAUAGGAUUCUUAGUUUAAAAUCAGCAGUCCAAUUACAACUCGUAUGAAUUUUAUAGUAGGGACUCAAUGCAAAUGCUUUCAAAAGGGUGUUCGUGGACACCCACAGAGGGUGAAAGUGUCUGAGAUGGGAAACUCUGACAGUAAACAUUAAAUUAAUUUUUUCAGUUUAUUUUUCAGAUUACAUGUCAUUCUUUAUUAAAGAGAUGCUGGCACAUAUCCUAAAAUGCUUUCUUUUGUAGUACUGUAACUUUGAAGAGUGAAGGAUGCUGAUGUCCUAAUCAUUACCUUCCAGAGGUUUUCUCUUUAGAAUCCCUAUUUGUAUGUAAGCUGUUGCUGGGUCUUAAAAAUAGACUGUUUGCUAAACUGUGUUUAGCAAACAUAUACUGAAAGCUUCAGCAGUUUCUAUAACUUCUGAAAUAGUUGUAUUAAACAGUGUACCCUGUGUUAUAGUUGCAUAAGCAGACUUUUUUAAACAGAAUCAAGUCCUGCUUUGAGUUGCAUACAGUAGCUUCUGGCCAGUUUGAUUUCAGAACCUUUUUAAAGGUACAAUCUUAAAAGCUGACAGACAAAUGUCAGAAUUUUAAAAUUUUAUACCCAGUUAUUAAGUUGGUGGGAGGUAUUAGGGAAGUUAUCAUGUUCCUUUGGUCUUUCCCCAUGGUUCUGUGGUUUUGGAGUAUUCACAAAGUUAGGUGACUUACAUAACUGAAGUAAAGGGUUUUCAAAUCCAUUAAGAGAAGUCCUUGGUCUGGCAGACCCAUUUCCAGAUGGUCUAGACCAUGUAGAACUUUUUUUUAUAUUGGAUUUAGAGAAAAUACUGGCUUUUGCAAUUUAGUCUGCUUUAAUUAAAUUGAGCCCAUUUAAACUUUUAAUCUCUGCAGCAUAUAGAAAUGGGUAUUCUUUUGCAUGUUUUCACACUUCCUUAAAAAUGAAUACAGAGCAUAUCUACAGUACUAUGUAGAUACAGCAUACCACCUAAUAGAAAUACAGCUUAUGAGAAAUUGAAACUGCUUUUGUGAGAUUUUGUGGUAUUUUUAUGGUAGAAAAAUUCUUGGCUUCUCCUUGGCGGCAACCACUUACUGUGGCAGCAAGUUUUUGCUGGAGUUUUUGAGACUGCAAUUUUACACUCUUAAAAGUAGUGGCCUGCUACAUAACUGCACUUAGCCAGCAUUUCUGCAGUUCAUAACUGUGAGGAACGUAGUACCACAAAUGGCAAUGGACAUUAGGACCCGGAUGUAGUAUUCCUGCUUGCUCCGAGAUUCUCAUUGCCGACUGCGUACAGGUGAAGAUGAUGCAAGCGGAGUGAAAUCACGUGCUCAUCCAUGUGAACAGUAGAGCCUGAGCACAAUCCAGAAUGUGACUCGAUGUCCGGUGAUGUGGAGUAGCCAGACUAUGAAGUGAAUGGAACCAAGAUAAGCAUUGUUUGAGGCUUUCCGGCUCUGCAGCAUCAAUAAACCCUGCUCACUGAACUCUACAGAUGCUCAGACACAAACAAGGAAACUAACAUGUUAAUUUCAAGCACCAUAAGAAAGGCAUGGUGCAUUAGGAGGAGAAAGGUUUAGGGCAGAUAGCAUAACACUUGAUUAAAACAAUUACAUAAAUUAAACUUGAUACAAAAAUAUUGGUUUUGCUUUUCAUCUUCAAAACAUUUUACAAACAAUUGAACUUCACAGCACCCCACAAGGUAGGUGAAUCAAUAUUACCGGUAUACUGUUUUAUAUGUGGGGAAGCAAGCAGACCGGAGGUAGUAUGCAGGGACUAUAAGAAGGAAUCUGUAGAGCUGGAAUUAAACUAUAAUUCUUUUUUUCCCACCAUUUGACCAGACUUCAGUCUAAAACACUUACAAAUUAUGAUGCCAGUAUGUAAAACCACAGGCCUGGGGGAAACUUGCUAAAUAUUUUCUUUUGCGCUGUUGAUGGUUGUAUGCAUCUGAUCUAUCCUUUAGGCAGUUUGAACAGAAUGAACACUUAAAAUUUGAAACCAGUGAUGUAAAGAUUCUUAAGAUUUGAUCCUAAUGCUAUGUAGUCCAAUUCAGAACUGCUUCUGUGUCCCUGUUUCUAUGCUAUUCACUUAAUCCCAGGUGUAAUCUGAAAGUUUAUAUAUAUUGUUAAAGAAUGUUUGUUCCAGAUGCAUUAUUUUUUUGUGUUCAUUCAAUUUUUUUUAAAGUGACCUAUGUAUGACGCUUGCUGGUAACAUCUGUAGAUUUUUGGGGCUAGCUUUGUGUUUUUGCAUUCACAGGAAGAAGCAGUGUUUGAAGUCCAGAACCCUGUGGAGAGGAGCCAGGGACUUAAGUGGCAAUGUUUUUCUUUCAAUAAAAUACUCAAUUGCUGUACAAAUGA